UACCAGCACCCCGAGUGGUCGGGACGUUUAUUGGGCCUAAAGCAUCCGUAGCCGGUUCUACAAGUCUUCCGUUAAAUCCACCUGCUUAACAGAUGGGCUGCGGAAGAUACUAUAGAGCUAGGAGGCGGGAGAGGCAAGCGGUACUCGAUGGGUAGGGGUAAAAUCCGUUGAUCCAUUGAAGACCACCAGUGGCGAAGGCGGCAUCCUGGACCGGCAUUGACGCUGAGGAGCGAAAGCCAGGGGAGCAAACGGG
rnacentral:rRNA from 1 species